AUCAAUCAUAUGCAACCUUAAAUCAUAAAACACAAUUUUUUUUAAAAACACAUCCCAUUUCUUUCAAAGUUCUUCCCCACAUACUUAUUCACCAUUACUUUAGGCUUCAACACAAAAGCCCUUUUCUUUCCAUCCCCGAUCAACCUCCACAUUUUGCACAUCCUUUCUUCUCCUUUUUCCUCCUUCUUUUUGAUCCACCCACACUACUCUUCAUUUAAAAAAAUAUAACGAAAUUUAGACAAUCUAGAAGAAAAAAUUAAGAAUUAGAGGAAAAAAGACA
rnacentral:lncRNA from 1 species